AAAUUGAAGAGUUUGAUCAUGGCUCAGAUUGAACGCUGGCGGCAGGCCUAACACAUGCAAGUCGAGCGGAAACGAGUUGUCUGAACCUUCGGGGAACGAUAACGGCGUCGAGCGGCGGACGGGUGAGUAAUGCCUAGGAAAUUGCCCUGAUGUGGGGGAUAACCAUUGGAAACGAUGGCUAAUACCGCAUGAUGCCUACGGGCCAAAGAGGGGGACCUUCGGGCCUCUCGCGUCAGGAUAUGCCUAGGUGGGAUUAGCUAGUUGGUGAGGUAAGGGCUCACCAAGGCGACGAUCCCUAGCUGGUCUGAGAGGAUGAUCAGCCACACUGGAACUGAGACACGGUCCAGACUCCUACGGGAGGCAGCAGUGGGGAAUAUUGCACAAUGGGCGCAAGCCUGAUGCAGCCAUGCCGCGUGUGUGAAGAAGGCCUUCGGGUUGUAAAGCACUUUCAGUCGUGAGGAAGGUAGUGUAGUUAAUAGCUGCAUUAUUUGACGUUAGCGACAGAAGAAGCACCGGCUAACUCCGUGCCAGCAGCCGCGGUAAUACGGAGGGUGCGAGCGUUAAUCGGAAUUACUGGGCGUAAAGCGCAUGCAGGUGGUUUGUUAAGUCAGAUGUGAAAGCCCGGGGCUCAACCUCGGAAUAGCAUUUGAAACUGGCAGACUAGAGUACUGUAGAGGGGGUAGAAUUUCAGGUGUAGCGGUGAAAUGCGUAGAGAUCUGAAGGAAUACCGGUGGCGAAGGCGGCCCCCUGGACAGAUACUGACACUCAGAUGCGAAAGCGUGGGGAGCAAACAGGAUUAGAUACCCUGGUAGUCCACGCCGUAAACGAUGUCUACUUGGAGGUUGUGGCCUUGAGCCGUGGCUUUCGGAGCUAACGCGUUAAGUAGACCGCCUGGGGAGUACGGUCGCAAGAUUAAAACUCAAAUGAAUUGACGGGGGCCCGCACAAGCGGUGGAGCAUGUGGUUUAAUUCGAUGCAACGCGAAGAACCUUACCUACUCUUGACAUCCAGAGAACUUUCCAGAGAUGGAUUGGUGCCUUCGGGAACUCUGAGACAGGUGCUGCAUGGCUGUCGUCAGCUCGUGUUGUGAAAUGUUGGGUUAAGUCCCGCAACGAGCGCAACCCUUAUCCUUGUUUGCCAGCGAGUAAUGUCGGGAACUCCAGGGAGACUGCCGGUGAUAAACCGGAGGAAGGUGGGGACGACGUCAAGUCAUCAUGGCCCUUACGAGUAGGGCUACACACGUGCUACAAUGGCGCAUACAGAGGGCGGCCAACUUGCGAAAGUGAGCGAAUCCCAAAAAGUGCGUCGUAGUCCGGAUUGGAGUCUGCAACUCGACUCCAUGAAGUCGGAAUCGCUAGUAAUCGUGGAUCAGAAUGCCACGGUGAAUACGUUCCCGGGCCUUGUACACACCGCCCGUCACACCAUGGGAGUGGGCUGCAAAAGAAGUAGGUAGUUUAACCUUCGGGGGGACGCUUACCACUUUGUGGUUCAUGACUGGGGUGAAGUCGUAACAAGGUAGCGCUAGGGGAACCUGGCGCUGGAUCACCUCCUUA
rnacentral:rRNA from 1 species